GACGAACGCUGGCGGCGUGCUUAACACGUGCAAGUCGAACGGAAAGGCCCUGCUUUUGUGGGGUGCUCGAGUGGCGAACGGGUGAGUAACACGUGAGUAACCUGCCCUUGACUUUGGGAUAACUUCAGGAAACUGGGGCUAAUACCGGAUAGGAGCUCCUGCUGCAUGGUGGGGGUUGGAAAGUUUCGGCGGUUGGGGAUGGACUCGCGGCUUAUCAGCUUGUUGGUGGGGUAGUGGCUUACCAAGGCUUUGACGGGUAGCCGGCCUGAGAGGGUGACCGGCCACAUUGGGACUGAGAUACGGCCCAGACUCCUACGGGAGGCAGCAGUGGGGAAUAUUGCACAAUGGGCGGAAGCCUGAUGCAGCACCGCCGCGUGCGGGAUGACGGCCUUCGGGUUGUAAACCGCUUUCGCCUGUGACGAAGCGUGAGUGACGGUAAUGGGUAAAGAAGCACCGGCUAACUACGUG
rnacentral:rRNA from 1 species